GUCGUGCUUUCGGUGCGGCGGCGGCGGCGGGGCUGCGGGAGAGAGCCAGGCGGUGAGCCCGGGGGAGGCGAGCAGUGGCACCUCGCAGCGAGCGCCUGCCCGGGCCCUGCAGGAGUGGAGCAGCGCCUGCAGCAGGAGGCUGGCCGUGAGUUCUAGUUUGUUGGAAAAAGUGCCAAGAGCAAGCCCCAAGGGGAAACGUCUAGAGUUACGGGUUUCUCCUAAUUGUUUCAGCGCUCCUGACAACAGAACUAUUUGGUUUUCCCAUCCGUGUUUACACUGUCAUCUUGGUCUCCGCGGCUUUAAACAUUUCUCUGCAUACAGGUUGGUGCACAAACUUCAACCAGCUUGAAGUCUGGGCAACUUUCCAUGUCCAGUUACACAACCUCACCAGCUCCAUUGCCCCUCCAGCCAAGCCCAGCCCAGGGCAUGCUUUUCUCUCCGUCUUCAACGAAAGCUUGGUCUGCCCCCUCAGCUCUGACAACGAUUCAUUUACAGUGAUGCGUCUUCCCAAAUGAAUCCUCUCCCUGAAAAAGCAGCUUUCUCCCCGCAGGAAAAGCUAGUUACACAGUCCGUGUCUCUGCAAAGCCGUUGGUUCUGACUCCCUCUGUUCAACCAGCGCACCGAGCCAGACAAAGUUCUGGUGGUUCUCCACCUCCUGACUGUCAACAGUUGACCUCAACCGCUUCCCCUCUAACGCCACCAUCUGUUGGCAUAGGAAAGAUGGUCUGAUACUGGGGUCAAAUGCCACUGAAGUCAUCCAGUUUCCAUGUGGGGGAAAAUAAAAACAAAACUAACAUAAAAUAAAUCGCCCAGUGAGGCGUGGAAGCUA